GAAGUGGUGGCUCAGUGGUUAAGCCUUUGAGGUCAAAUCAAAAGGUCAUGAGUUCAAAUCCCAGCACUGCC